UUCCGGUUGAUCCUGCCGGACCUACUGCUAUCGGGGUGGGACUAAGACAUGCGAGUUGAGCGUCUCUAAGCUAUGGUAGAGACGCGGCGUACGGCUCAGUAACACGUGGCUAACCUACCCUUAGGACGGGGACAACCCCGGGAAACUGGGGCUAAUACCCGAUAGGCGAGGAGGCCUGGAAUGGUUCUUAGUCGAAAAGGCGUUGAAACCAUGCUUUUCGACGUCGCCUAAGGAUGGGGCCGCGCCCGAUCAGGUUGUUGGUGGGGUAACGGCUCACCAAGCCUAUAACCGGUACGGGCCGUGAGAGCGGGAGCCCGGAGAUGGGCACUGAGACAAGGGCCCAGGCCCUACGGGGCGCAGCAGUCGCGAAACUCCGCAAUGCGCGAAAGCGUGACGGGGCUACCCCGAGUGCCGUCCGCUGAGGAUGGCUUUUCUCCGGUGUAAUGAGCCGGGGGAAUAAGGAGAGGGCAAGUCUGGUGUCAGCCGCCGCGGUAAUACCAGCUNUCCGAGUGGUAGGGAUGAUUAUUGGGCUUAAAGCGUCCGUAGCCGGCUUAGCAAGUCUCCUGUUAAAUUCAGCGACCUAAUCGUUGAGCCGCGGGAGAUACUACUAGGCUAGGAGGCGGGAGAGGCCGACGGUAUUCUCGGGGUAGGGGUGAAAUCCUAUAAUCUCGGGAGGACCNCCAGUGGCGAAGGCUGUCGGCUAGAACGCGCUCGACGGUGAGGGACGAAAGCUGGGGGAGCGAACCGGAUUAGAUACCCGGGUAGUCCCAGCUGUAAACGAUGCGGGCUAGGUGUUGGGGUGGCUACGAGCCACUUCAGUGCCGCAGGGAAGCCAUUAAGCCCGCCGCCUGGGGAGUACGGCCGCAAGGCUGAAACUUAAAGGAAUUGGCGGGGGAGCACCACAAGGCGUGAAGCUUGCGGUUCAAU
rnacentral:rRNA from 1 species